GGAAGAAGCUGCUAAAUGAGUAUUGCUUCUUCGAGGCAUCGUUAGAACCAGACAUUGCAACAAAAUGGGGGCUUCUUCUGGUGUAUGAGAAGAAAAUUCAACAGAUAGAUCAAUCAACCAUCGCGGUCCAAUGUGAUGUUGAUUCUCCGAAUUCUGAUCUGUUUAGAGAAUGUAAUGAUGACCAAGGCCACAGAAAAGAAGAUGUUUCUGUU
rnacentral:misc_RNA from 1 species